rnacentral:rRNA from 1 species
UACGGGGGGGGCAAGCGUUGUUCGGAAUUACUGGGCGUAAAGGGCUCGUAGGCGGCCAACUAAGUCCGACGUGAAAUCCCCAAGCUUAACUUGGGAACUGCGUCGGAUACUGGAUGGCUUGAAUUCGGGAGAGGGAUGCAGAAUUCCAGGUGUAGCGGUGAAAUGCGUAGAUAUCUGGAGGAACACCGGUGGCGAAGGCGGCAUCCUGGACCGGCAUUGACGCUGAGGCGCGAAAGCUAGGGGAGCAAACGGG